GAUGAACGCUGGCGGCGUGCUUAACACAUGCAAGUCGAACGAAGCACCUUGAUUUGAUUCUUCGGAUGAAGAUCUUGGUGACUGAGUGGCGGACGGGUGAGUAACGCGUGGGUAACCUGCCUCAUACAGGGGGAUAACAGUUAGAAAUGACUGCUAAUACCGCAUAAGACCACAGCACCGCAUGGUGCAGGGGUAAAAACUCCGGUGGUAUGAGAUGGACCCGCGUCUGAUUAGGUAGUUGGUGGGGUAACGGCCUACCAAGCCGACGAUCAGUAGCCGACCUGAGAGGGUGACCGGCCACAUUGGGACUGAGACACGGCCCAAACUCCUACGGGAGGCAGCAGUGGGGAAUAUUGCACAAUGGGGGAAACCCUGAUGCAGCGACGCCGCGUGAGCGAUGAAGUAUUUCGGUAUGUAAAGCUCUAUCAGCAGGGAAGAAAAUGACGGUACCUGACUAAGAAGCACCGGCUAAAUACGUGCCAGCAGCCGCGGUAAUACGUAUGGUGCAAGCGUUAUCCGGAUUUACUGGGUGUAAAGGGAGCGUAGACGGAGUGGCAAGUCUGAUGUGAAAACCCGGGGCUCAACCCCGGGACUGCAUUGGAAACUGUCAAUCUAGAGUACCGGAGAGGUAAGCGGAAUUCCUAGUGUAGCGGUGAAAUGCGUAGAUAUUAGGAGGAACACCAGUGGCGA
rnacentral:rRNA from 1 species